GACUCGAUGGCGGAUGGUCCGCACCUGUUUUCUAUACUAGCUCAUAAAACAAUGAAGCAGGAGAAACCCAGUUCGAUUCUGGGUCGAGUCA